AUAUCUCUAUUCUAUUAGUGUGGGAGUUUAAAGAUUGACACUGAGUGUUGUGUGUGUAUUUGUGUGUCCAGAUGUGUGAUCUCUGUUUCCUUUGCCCGGUUGUGCAACCAGCGUGAAUCAUCAGGCCACAGGUCAUAAAACAGUUACUCAAGGACUUAAACACAAACGCUGGACUUUGGAGACGACCGGUACGCAGUUGUACCUGUGGUGAUGUGUGCGUGUCAUGUGAGUUUCAUUACCGCGAGAAAUAGAAAGCAGAAACAGAGAGAGAGAGAGACAAAGUGAUGUGAGCGAGCAUUUGAUGAAGGGAAGCAGCAGUGCGCACUUGUCGCCUCUUUUACUAGCACCUGUUCUUCAGCGUGUCUAAAUAGAUCAAGAGACGUAGAGAAAGAGGUCAGGUGCUUUCUGGAUCGUGAUGGAGUUAAGUGCGGGAAAGGUGCACGAUUGAAUUUAAGACAGGUUUCCUGCACACUUCCUCUGUCUUCCAUUGUUCGGACAAACUUCAUGGAAAAUUGAAGGCUGCAUUUGUCUCCUAUAUGUGACCCUGUCUUUGAAAUCCAGGUUUUCAAAUUGAGAUUUGGAGCAUCAAAGUUUGACAUCUUUGACAUGACCUUACUCAGUCAAUAUUAAAGAUAAAGGUUAUAUGUCCUGUACAUUAUGUAAGAUACGUUUAUAUAGAAAACAGUAAAUUACAAAAAAGUUUUUUUACAGGCAGGGUGACAUAUAAGAUCAAUAAACGAUGCACCUGCUCACAGCACCAUCUGCCUGUACGUGGGAUUGUGUGCCAUGGACCGAGGCACAUAAUAAAGUGUGUAAUAACACACGGUAAGGUGAAUCUGUGUGGGCUUAUACAAGCUGGUAAGAGGCAGUUUCUCCUUAGAAAAGGCCUGACGUCAUCCUCCCACGGCCGAAAGUGAUGCGGGAGCUAUCAGGGUCUAUUUAUGCCCAGAUAAACACACCAUACAUCAAGUACAUUGUCUGUUAUGCAACAAGAUGUGGUCACUUCUUUGCAUUAUCAUUCUCCUCAACUGAUACACAUAGGUUUGUAAACGACGAAAAGUUGAUGUCGCUAUUCAAACCCGCAAUGCCACAGAGAUUACAGCUGUGACAAUUCUUUCAAAAUAGUCACUUCCUGUUAAAGCACA